rnacentral:lncRNA from 1 species
CAAGCUGGCAGUGGAUAAUUUUCUAAUUGUGUGGUUUGCUCCCCAUUUCAGAGGCCCGCUGGCAGUUUCAGAGUAACAAGAGGAUAAAUGAUGCUGAUCUUUCUCCACACAAUGACACCUUUAAGAGAGAAAGUUACAGUCCAAACCACAUGCAUUCAGAUUGUGCAGCGUUGUGUCUGUGAACUUCCAGAGUUUGCAUUAAGAAGUGACAGAACAUCAGAGUGCCAGAAGCUUCUCAUACUGGCCCUGAAGAUGUCUCUGCUUCAUGGAACAGGGAAUCGGCUGAAAAAUGAUGGACAAAGAGGAUGGAAAGCAAAGACUCAUCAAAAAUUAGAAAGCCACAGGUGCAGGAAGUUUGCAGAGCACGUGCUGAAUGAAGCCAGGCCUCGCUGUCAGUGUGGGUGGGAGCUCCAGCCGGGGCAGCUCAGCCCCAGCACCCAUAUGGGGCCAUGGGAGUCAGGCACAGCCAGGGACAGAAAAUACACAGAAUUACUUCCAUUCAGUUAUGAAUACAUGUAGGGAAGAGUUAGACCCAGAAAACCUCCAAAAUUUUUUGUCAAUUAAUUAAAAUUAAUGAUUUCAUAAAAGUGAUUAGUAAAUAAUAUCCACUAUCAAAUUUCUGCAUACACAGAGCAACCAGCUGCAAAACUUGUCAGUUAGGGGCCCAAAACGCAGGUUGAUUUUUGG